GAAGAUUUCAGCAGUAUUUAUUUUUAUUUACAAUUUAUACCCUGUCAGCUUCUAAAAAGGAUUGGAGGCAGCUUCCAAUAAAAGAUACACGCACAAUAAGAUUGCUAAAAUGGGAACAGAAAAUUGAAAACUCAUGCCAAAGAAGGAGGGAGUCAAAAAGGUGGUAAGAUUAUUAUGACGCGAGAUUAAAUUUAGUUCCAAGCUUUCUGAUGGCCAAAGCAAAGAUGGAAAUGUGGAGGCUGGCAGGCACUUCAGUAUCUGAAUAAAGAAAAGAAAAUCAUAAUCCGUGUAUUAGUCUUCAAGGGGUAUCAGCGGGUCUCCAGUACCGUGUUCAUUGGGUGACCCCUAUAAGGGCCUUUGAGUCAGGUGAUGGAGAGGGUCCAGCCCUCCUGCGUGUGGCAAGCCUAGGCUUUGGAGUGGGACACCCGCCGCGCCAGGCCCCAGGCAAGGGGCCCAGCCCAGCCCUCGCUGCAGAGUGCCUACUCCUACAGCUGCCUCACCCUGAGGUGAAUUAUCCACAAGGCCAGGGCCUCUCAUUUCCUACUCAGUCAGCCCCGAGACCCCUGAGGCUUGGCCUUUGCCCUGGGUCCAUCCUCUCCAGUGGCUAGCCCUGCACAUGUUCAUGCCUCUGGGCCUCAGGAGGGCCAGGGGCAGCCAGUGGGGUGCAGGGGAAUUUGGACUGCAGGCUGGGUUGUCCACACGCUUGUUACUAUAAUCAUUGUUAUUUCUGAUUCACCGUGCAAUUCGGCCAUUUAUAUUUAUAAUGCUAUUUGAGAGAUUGUGAAAAAGCAACACCACCCUGAAAACACACAGUCUUCCUCUAGGCUAGAUAGGCUGCAACAGAUUAGCGCUUUUCCCUCCUUCCUUUUUUUUUUUUUUGAGACAGAUUCUUGCUCUUGUUGCCCAGACUGGAAUGCAGUGGCACAAUUUCGGUUCAUUGUAACCUCCGCCUCCCAGGUUCAAGCGAUUCUCCUGCCUCAGCCUCCCGAGUAGCUGGGAUUACAGGCGCAUGCCACCACACCCAGCUAAUUUUUUUAUA
rnacentral:lncRNA from 1 species